rnacentral:rRNA from 1 species
GGAAUGGGACAUAUCGGUCGUGCCUUUAGGGGCAUGAAUCGGUGUGUGGCCAGUUCUCACCUUCUGGUGAAUUGGGAUGCUCUUGGGUGUUUCAAUGAACUAGGACUUUUACUUUGAAAAAAUUAGAGUGUUUAAAGCAGGCCUACGCUUGAAUACAUUAGCAUGGAAUAAUAGAAUAGG